rnacentral:rRNA from 1 species
GAUGAACGCUGGCGGCGUGCUUAACACAUGCAAGUCGAACGGAAAGGCUCCUGCUUGCAGGGGUACUCGAGUGGCGAACGGGUGAGUAACACGUGGGUGAUCUGCCCUGCACUUCGGGAUAAGCCUGGGAAACUGGGUCUAAUACCGGAUAGGACGAUGGUUUGGAUGCCAUUGUGGAAAGUUUUUUCGGUGUGGGAUGAGCUCGCGGCCUAUCAGCUUGUUGGUGGGGUAAUGGCCUACCAAGGCGUCGACGGGUAGCCGGCCUGAGAGGGUGUACGGCCACAUUGGGACUGAGAUACGGCCCAGACUCCUACGGGAGGCAGCAGUGGGGAAUAUUGCACAAUGGGCGCAAGCCUGAUGCAGCGACGCCGCGUGGGGGAUGACGGCCUUCGGGUUGUAAACUGCUUUCGCUAGGGACGAAGCGCAAGUGACGGUACCUGGAGAAGAAGCACCGGCUAACUACGUG